AUGGCCAUGACGCCGCCCUCCUCCUUCCCGCCGGCGUCCCCGUCGUCCUACUUCAACAUGUCCUCCGGGUUCCUCGACUCGCCGGUCCUCCUUACCCCCAGCCUAUUCGCAUCGCCGACGACGGGCGCGUUCCCCUCGCAUCAGUUCAACUGGAUGGGGACGCCGGAGAACGACGGCCUGCAGGGAAGCGCCAGCCAGGACGAGCAGCGGCAGUACUCCGGCUUCACGUUCCAGACGACGGCGCCGCUGCCGGCGGCCACCGCGACCGCGUCCUCCUUCCUGCAGUCGUCCAUGCCCAUGGCUCAACUGGUGGGAGACUCAUACGAGCAGCAGCAACAGCAACCGUGGAGCUACCAAGACACGGGCAUGAACGGGGCCACGAGGCCGGCGGAGUUCACCACGCAAUUCGAGCCGCCGACGACGUCCACCAUCAUGGCGACGACGGCGCCUGACGUGCUCGGGAACGGCGCCUACAGCGUCCCGGUGUCUUCGGGGACGGCCGGGUACCGCGUGCAGAGCCGGCGGCCGUCGUCGGACGACGGCUACAACUGGCGCAAGUACGGGCAGAAGCAGAUGAAGGGGAGCGAGAACCCGCGCAGCUACUACAAGUGCUCCUUCGCCGGCUGCCCCACCAAGAAGAAGGUGGAGCAGGCGCCCGACGGCCAGGUCACCGAGAUCGUGUACAAGGGCACGCACAACCACCCCAAGCCACAGAACCCGCGCCGGGGCUCCGGCUCGGCGGUGUCGUCGUCGUACGCUCUGCAGUGCCACGGGGCCAACGACGCGUCGAGCGACGCGCUCUCCUGCACGCCCGAGAACUCGUCGGCGUCCUACGGGGACGACGAGACGAACGGCGUGAGCUCAAGGCUGGCCGGAGCCGUCGGCGGCGGUGAGGAUCAGUUCGACGACGAGGAGGCUGAUUGCAAGAGAUGGAGGAGCGACGGCGAGGCGACGGUUAUGGCCGUCGGUAACCGGACUGUGCGGGAGCCAAGGGUCGUCGUCCAGACGAUGAGCGACAUCGACAUCCUCGACGACGGCUACCGGUGGCGCAAGUACGGGCAGAAGGUGGUCAAGGGCAACCCGAACCCGAGGAGCUACUACAAGUGCACGACGCCCAACUGCCCGGUGCGGAAGCACGUGGAGCGCGCGUCGCAGGACCUGCGCGCCGUGGUCACCACCUACGAGGGCAAGCACAACCACGACGUGCCCGCCGCGCGCGGGAGCGCCGCCGCAGCAGCGCGGUACAGAGCCGCGACGCUGCAGCCGGCCGCGAGCUACCUGCAGGGCGCCGGCGGCUAUUCCAGUCUUCGCCCCGACGGGUUCGGCGGCCUCGACGACGGCGGCGCGCCCGCGGGGAUGAGCGGGUUCGCGCUGUCCGGGUUCGGCAACCCGUCGUACUCGUACGCGAGCAUGCAGGAUCAGCAGCAGCAACCACAGCAGCAGCAGAGCGAAGCGAUGUACUACGACGCCUCGAGGACCAAGGACGAGCCGAGGGACGACAUGUUCUUCGGCCACUCGGUGAUGUUCUGA
rnacentral:rRNA from 1 species